rnacentral:lncRNA from 1 species
CAUUUCUUUGUUAAAAUUUUAAAAUUCCUGUCUUCCAGCCAGAGGAUCCUUUCCUGUUCAAUCAACAGCAACAGGCUCACAAUCAAGAUUCUAUUAUGCAUUUUUCAAGGGCUUUUUCUUGAAGAUUACAUUUCUUGGCAGGAGCUUUCUCCGUUUGCCAGGUCUCACAGACUAAUGGCCUGGGAUUUCGGCUGCAAUGAGAAGAUGUAGAGCUCUUGGAAGUGGCAGCAAGAGUCCCUAUGGUAGGAACACGAGUGAGGCUUCAUACCCUGGCAAUGUAUCACAUUGGAUGACGUUUCACUGUGAUGGUGCUCCCAGGAGUCAUUCAUUCAUCACCAUGGUCUGUGACAUGCAUUCACUUUGCUACAUUUCUGUUGCCGCAGCCUUUCCUUGUUAUACAAGACAUUAGGUUUUCUGAGAAGCAGCUCCUGGCUUGCUUGUUUGCCCAAAUUCUUCACAUGAUGUAUCACACUGCAAACAGGGCAUCUGAGGGUACAGUCAGGCUGAGCAGGGAUGGGGGCUCCUGCUCCUCUAAGCUCUUGAGCCUGCCUCAGACCCGAGCAUGGAUUUGUGACCAGGCAGCACAACACUAGCCAAGCCAGGCAGGAAUUCAAGUUCCACUGCACUGUGUAGGCACAUCAGUUUAGAUGUGAGAAUACUGGCAUUUAUAUGACCUGUAUGCUAGACUACAUCAGUAAAAAUUUUAUAUCUAUCCCUGUUAAUUUGGUAUCAUUUUUAAGGGAUUAAAUGAAGAAGUGUAACUAUUCUGACAGACAGCUAUUUCAGCAGUGAACAAGUUGCCAUAUCAGUGAGAUAAAUAUUUAUUUAAUUUGUCAGUCUCAAUGAGUACAGUCAUUGCCAGCUAUUUCAGAGAUAAACCUAAGAGUAUUGUACACAAGGAUAAAUAUCUUCCUUGUAGAAGAAAUGCAUUUUUUCCAUAGGUUUAAGGGUAUUCUGAGUAUAGCUGAAUUUGAGUGACAGGUGUAAUAUUACAGUCACUGUCAUAUAUGAAUGUACUUGGAAACAAAUAUAAAUAUUUCAUUUAUAUAUUGUUUUAUUCCUUUAAAAUCAAAGU